rnacentral:rRNA from 1 species
CCUACGGGGGGCUGCAGUGAGGAAUAUUGGUCAAUGGGCGCGAGCCUGAACCAGCCAAGUAGCGUGAAGGAUGACUGCCCUACGGGUUGUAAACUUCUUUUAUAAAGGAAUAAAGUGAGGCACGUGAGCCUUUUUGUAUGUACUUUAUGAAUAAGGAUCGGCUAACUCCGUGCCAGCAGCCGCGGUAAUACGGAGGAACCGAGCGUAAACCGGAUUUAUAGGGUUUAAAGGGAGCGUAGAUGGGUGGUUAAGUCAGUUGUGAAAGUUUGCGGCUCAACCGUGAAAUUGCAUUUGAUACUGGCAGUCUUGAGUACAGUUGAGGUAGGCGGAAUUCGUGGUGUAGCGGUGAAAUGCUUAGAUAUCACGAAGAACUCCGGUUGCGAAGGCCGCUUACUAAACUGCCACUGACAUUGAUGCUCGAAAGUGUGGGUAUCAAACAGGAUUAGAUACCCGAGUAGUC